UUUAUGGAGAGUUUGAUCCUGGCUCAGGAUGAACGCUGGCGGCGUGCCUAAUACAUGCAAGUCGAGCGAACAGACGAGGAGCUUGCUCCUCUGACGUUAGCGGCGGACGGGUGAGUAACACGUGGAUAACCUACCUAUAAGACUGGGAUAACUUCGGGAAACCGGAGCUAAUACCGGAUAAUAUAUUGAACCGCAUGGUUCAAUAGUGAAAGACGGUUUUGCUGUCACUUAUAGAUGGAUCCGCGCCGCAUUAGCUAGUUGGUAAGGUAACGGCUUACCAA
rnacentral:rRNA from 1 species